AAUCUGCCGUUUCUUCUUUUAUUUUUCAAGAAAAGAAAAAAACACCCUCUCCCCCUUUGUUUCUCAACUCUCUGCUAGGGUUAUGAACCCUAGCCUUUGCAUCGUCACCCCGUCGAUCGAAAGGAAGAAAGUCUCUCCUCUCCUCCUUUUGGGUCUAAUUUCAGCAACGGAGAGAGUCUCCAGCGACACAAUCACAGGGAUUCCGGUGUCAGAGGCACGUGGAGGCAAGCCGAGCGGUGGUAGCGCACAUGGUGGCCUUGCUGGUGAGGAGCGGUGGCUGAAGGCUUAGUGGCUAGGUUUUUUUGUCUGCUGAAAAUUUUUAAGAUAGUGGGCUGGGAUUUGGGCUAGGGUUUAUAAAAUUUGGGUAGUGGGUUUGGUUUUAAUGAAUUGGGCCCUGAUAUUUAUAAAAUGGACUGCCAAUUUAGACUUUAUCAUUUA